UCGGCCUGAAAAUGUCCUCCGGUUUGACCGUAACCGGGGGUCAGAUUCCUGAGCCCACAGCACGGCGGCACGUUAAGCUUAUCGGCUGCUGCUGGUGGGCAGACGAUAAAACCCACGGGCCUACAAGA
rnacentral:snoRNA from 1 species